GCUAGAGAUAAUGUCCAAGGUGCAUUAGCCUUGCAGCUGGUCGUUAAUCCUCAGGAAAUGACCUGUUUCUUGAUUGUUAUGGCUUAAAUAUUCUGUCCGUGUUUUAUUUCUGAUCUUUCUUGCACCAUGAGUAGUAGCUUCAGUUUGUGAUUUCACCCUUUCUAGACCUAAGAGAGAGAACAGGUUCCACUCCUGCUAUGAAGCAGAAAUAUGAUCCGUUCUGACAUACGGACUGUGUAUAUAAGGAAGCUAGUUACUCAGGGGCGGGGGCAGCAGCAGCAGCAUUUGACACCAGAAUAAUGAACUCAGCAAAUCUUUACUAGCUUUCUGUGGGCUGGAAUAUCAUGAGAGAGGAUGUAGGACUUGUGAGGUUAACCUGCUUCCUCUAGAGAAGAAGGUCCAAGCAGAGAGAGUGAGAGGAUGGGAGUGUGAGGGAAGAUAGGGAGAAAGCUGGAAAGUUACAGAGCUGAGGGGAGAAAGGACAGCAAGGAAGGGCAUUUGAUGGAGAGAGAAGUUAGGGCAUGAAAGUGACUGAGUGAUGGCAGAGAUGUCAAGAGAGUGGUAGAU